GAUGAACGCUGGCGGCGUGCCUAAUACAUGCAAGUCGAGCGAACGGACGAGAAGCUUGCUUCUCUGAUGUUAGCGGCGGACGGGUGAGUAACACGUGGAUAACCUACCUAUAAGACUGGGAUAACUUCGGGACACCGGAGAUAAUACCGGAUAAUAUUUUGAACCGCAUGGUUCAAAAGUGAAAGACGGUCUUGCUGUCACUUAUAGAUGGAUCCGCGCUGCAUUAGCUAGUUGGUAAGGUAACGGCUUACCAAGGCAACGAUGCAUAGCCGACCUGUGAGGGUGAUCGGCCACACGGGAGGGUGGACGCGGUCCAGACUCCUGCGGGAGGCAGCAGUAGGGAAUCUGCCGCAAUGGGCGGAAGCCUGACGGAGCGGCGCGGCGUGAGUGAUGGAGAUCUUCGGAUCGUAAAACUCGGUUAUGAGGGAAGAACAUAUGUGUAAGUAACUGUGCACAGCGUGACGGUACCUAAUCAAGAAGCCACGGCUAACUACGUG
rnacentral:rRNA from 1 species